CCUACGGGAGGCAGCAGUGGGGAAUAUUGCACAAUGGGGGAAACCCUGAUGCAGCGACGCCGCGUGAGUGAAGAAGUAUUUCGGUAUGUAAAGCUCUAUCAGCAGGGAAGAAAAUGACGGUACCUGAGUAAGAAGCCCCGGCUAACUACGUGCCAGCAGCCGCUGUAAUACGUAGGGGGCAAGCGUUAUCCGGAUUUACUGGGUGUAAAGGGAGCGUAGACGGCAGCACAAGUCUGGAGUGAAAUGCCGGGGCUUAACCCCGGAACUGCUUUGGAAACUGUGCAGCUAGAGUGCAGGAGAGGUAAGUGGAAUUCGUAGUGUAGCGGUGAAAUGCGUAGAUAUUAGGAGGAACACCAGUGGCGAAGGCGGCUUACUGGACUGUAACUGACGUUGAGGCUCGAAAGCGUGGGGAGCAAACAGGAUUAGAUACCCUUGUAGUC
rnacentral:rRNA from 1 species